rnacentral:rRNA from 1 species
CCUACGGGAGGCAGCAGUGGGGAAUAUUGGACAAUGGGGGCAACCCUGAUCCAGCAAUACCGCGUGUGUGAAGAAGGCCUGCGGGUUGUAAAGCACUUUCAAUUGUGAAGAAAAGAUUAAGGUUAAUAACCUUAGUCCUUGACGUUAACUUUAGAAGAAGCACCGGCUCACUCCGUGCCAGCAGCCGCGGUAAU